GCUUGCACCUUUCAAGCGAGUGGCGAACGGGUGAGUAACACGUGGAUAACCUGCCUCAAGGCUGGGGAUAACAUUUGGAAACAGAUGCUAAUACCGAAUAAAACUUAGUAUCGCAUGAUACAAAGUUGAAAGGCGCUACGGCGUCACCUAGAGAUGGGUCCGCGGUGCAUUAGUUAGUUGGUGGGGUAAA
rnacentral:rRNA from 1 species